AGGAUAAUAGUUAAUCAUAACAUUUAAUUUGCAUUUAAAAAGUAUUGUUAAUUACAAUUUAUCUUU
rnacentral:tRNA from 1 species